ensembl:snRNA U6 U6 spliceosomal RNA
GUGCUUGCCUCGGCAGCACAUAUAAUAAAAUUGGAACAAUACAGAGAAGAUUAGCAUAGCCCCUACACAAGGAUGACACACAAAUUCAUGAAACAUUCCAUAUUUUG